AGCCCAAACCCCCAAAGUGACUGUAUUUGGAGACGGGGCUUUUUGGAGGAAAUGAAGGUUAAAUGAGGUCAUAAGGGUGGAGCUCCAAUCCGAUAGGACCGUGGGCCUAUAGAAGAGGAAGGUCUCAAUUCUCUCCCUCUCUCUCUCUCUGCUCUGUGAGGACGCAGCAAGGGCUACCAUCUGCAAGCCAGGAAGACAGCGCUCACCAGGAUCCAAAUCAGCCAGCACCUUGAUCUUGGACUUCCUAGCCUCCGGAACGUGGGAUCUACUUAUUUUACGUGGCCACUACCCCACCUUCUGAGAACGACCCAUAGUUUCUCUCGGAGGACUUGUCUUCACUGCUCCAGCUCCCAUCACCACCCCUCCAAUCCAUGUUAUGGACUGAAGUGAGCAGGCAAGCAGGUCACCAGGCUCUCCAGUAUGACCGAAAGGGGCUAAGAGAGUAAAAAGACUCCAAGACAAGAGAGGCUCCCCAGUACGUAGCUGUAUGUUCCAGUUGUAGGUCCUUCUGCUUGUGCUAUGUGAGAUGCCACCUCAGCAUGGCCUGAUAAGCGGUGCCAUGUCCACACCCAGGAUCCGAACCGGCGAAACCCUGGGCCACUGAAGCAGAGUGCACGAACUUAACCACUUGUAUCUUUUGACAUUAGAGAAAAUAUUGAAAAUAUUCCUUUAACUGUGUCUUUGGGCAUCCUUCCACCAAUCACAUCACCGUCCUACUGAGACAAACCGUGCAAUGGAUUAUCCCAAGAUCCUUCCAAUAAAUCCCUUUUUAUCUAACAUCCUUUUUGUUUGCUUUGUCAUGUUUCCAAAACUGAUCAAGUUGUAUCAAUUAAUACAACUACUGAUGCUAAGAAAUCUAGUCCUCAUCCUGCUUAUCUAUAGAUAAUGUACUCACUAUACUUUUGUGCAAAAUAUGACUAUAUAUAACUGUUGAGCAGAAGAUCAUGUACUAGCUAUCAAUCCCAGGGGAGCAGAACACAGUAUACUGGUCACCAAUCCCAGGGGAGGACUCCAAACACUUCUGCCCAUUGCAUGUUUGUAUCAGAGUUGUCAAGGAAAACACAACACAGUCAAGCACUGGAUGGAACAACGCUUUACUCACAUAGAGAAGAGACAAAGCAAGAUCAGCUUCAAUAGUGUGUGUUGGUCCCCCAUGGCCAGCAGGUCCUC
rnacentral:lncRNA from 1 species